rnacentral:rRNA from 1 species
UACAGAGGUCCCAAGCGUUGUUCGGAUUCACUGGGCGUAAAGGGUGCGUAGGUGGCCGGGUAAGUCUGACGUGAAAUCUCCGAGCUCAACUCGGAAACUGCGUCGGAUACUCUCCGGCUUGAGGAUCGGAGGGGAGACUGGAAUUCUCGGUGUAGCAGUGAAAUGCGUAGAUAUCGAGAGGAACACCAGUGGCGAAGGCGAGUCUCUGGACGAUUCCUGACGCUGAGGCACGAAAGCCAGGGGAGCAAACGGG